CGUCCCAGUUCGGAUUGUAGUCUGCAACCCGACUACAUGAAGCUGGAAUCGCUAGUAAUCGCGAAUCAGAAUGUCGCGGUGAAUACGUUCCCGGGUCUUGUACACACCGCCCGUCACACCAUGGGAGUCGGAAAUGCCCGAAGUCAGUGACCUAACCGAAAGGGAGGAGCUGCCGAAGGUGGAGCCGGUAACUGGGGUGAAGUCGUAACAAGGUACC
rnacentral:rRNA from 1 species